rnacentral:pre_miRNA from 13 species
GUUGUUAAGAUAUUGUUUACCCAGUGUUGUUAUGUUACUUUUAACAUAACAACACUGGGUAAACAAUAUCUUAACAA